UCCGGCUUAUCACCGGCAGUUUUCUCAGAGUGCUCAGCCUAACCUGUUAGCAACAGAGAAUGAGGGUUGCGCUCGUUGCGGGACUUAACCCAACAUCUCACGACACGAGCUGACGACAGCCAUGCAGCACCUGUGCACCUCCCACCCGAAGUGAAGAGCUCCCUUUCAGGAACUCAUAGAGGGCAUGUCAAAGCCUGGUAAGGUUCUUCGCGUUGCCUCGAAUUAAACCACAUGUUCCACCGCUUGUGCGGGUCCCCGUCAAUUCCUUUGAGUUUUAAUCUUGCGACCGUACUCCCCAGGCGGGAUGCUUAACGCGUUAGCUGCGCCACUGAGGGGGAACCCCCCAACGGCUAGCAUCCAUCGUUUACAGCGUGGACUAC
rnacentral:misc_RNA from 1 species